GGGAAUGUAGUUCAGUGGUAGAAUGCUUACCUAGCAAGCAUGAGGCCCUGGAUUCAAUCCCCAGCACUACAC
rnacentral:tRNA from 1 species